AGAGUUUGAUCCUGGCUCAGAGUGAACGCUGGCGGCGUGCUUAACACAUGCAAGUCGAACGGGACUUUAUCGGGGGUAACCCUGGUAAAGUUUAGUGGCAGACGGGUGAGUAACACGUGGGAAACCUACUCAGAAGAGGGGGAUAACCCCGGGAAACCGGAGCUAAUACCCCAUAAGACCACAAGGGGACAUCUCCUAGCGGUCAAAGGUGCCGAGCAAUCGGUUAUGCUUUUGGAUGGUCCCGCGGCCUAUCAGCUAGUUGGUAAGGUAACAGCUUACCAAGGCUAUGACGGGUAUCCGGCCUAAAAGGGUGAACGGACACAAUGGAACUGAGACACGGUCCAUACUCCUACGGGAGGCAGCAGUGGGGAAUUUUGGACAAUGGGCGAAAGCCUGAUCCAGCAACGCCGCGUGGAGGAUGAAGGUCUUCGGAUUGUAAACUCCUUUUGGAGGGAACGAACACAAUGACGGUACCCUCAGAAAAAGCCACGGCUAACUACGUGCCAGCAGCCGCGGUAAUACGUAGGUGGCAAGCGUUACUCGGAAUUACUAGGCGUAAAGCGCGUGUAGGCGGUUUAAUAAGUCUGUGGUGAAAUCUCCCGGCUCAACCGGGAGCGGUCCACAGAAACUGUUAGGCUUGAGUGUGGGAGGGGAGAACGGAAUUCCUGGUGUAGCGGUGAAAUGCGUAGAUAUCAGGAGGAACACCGAUGGCGAAAGCGGUUCUCUGGCCCAAUACUGACGCUGAUACACGAAAGCUAGGGGAGCAAACAGGAUUAGAUACCCUGGUAGUCCUAGCUGUAAACGAUGCUCACUAGAUGUGGGAGGUAUCGACCCCUUCCGCGUCGACGCUAACGCAUUAAGUGAGCCGCCUGGGGAGUACGGCCGCAAGGUUGAAACUCAAAGGAAUUGACGGGGGCCCGCACAAGCGGUGGAGCAUGUGGUUUAAUUCGACGCAACGCGAAGAACCUUACCUGGGCUUGAAGAGCUAGUUGUAAAGACUCGAAAGAGAAAUGACCCGCAAGGGAGCUAGUAGAGGUGCUGCAUGGCUGUCGUCAGCUCGUGUCGUGAGAUGUUGGGUUAAGUCCCGCAACGAGCGCAACCCUUGUCCUAUGUUGCUCCGUAGCAAUACGGAGGUCUCUUAGGAUACUGCCGGUGAUAAACCGGAGGAAGGUGGAGAUGACGUCAAGUCAUCAUGGCCUUUAUGUCCAGGGCUACACACGUGCUACAAUGGCCGGUACAGAGGGCAGCCAAACCGCAAGGUGGAGCAAAUCCCACAAAACCGGCCCCAGUUCAGAUUGUGGGCUGCAAUUCGCCCACAUGAAGGAGGAAUCGCUAGUAAUCGCAGAUCAGCAGGCUGCGGUGAAUACGUUCCCGGGCCUUGUACACACCGCCCGUCACACCACGAAAGUCAGUUGUAACAGAAGUCGUUGUGCUAACCCGUAAGGGAUGCAGACGCCCAAGUUAUGGUUGGUAAUUGGGGUGAAGUCGUAACAGGUA
rnacentral:rRNA from 1 species